GAUGAACGCUGGCGGCGUGCCUAAUACAUGCAAGUCGAGCGAACAGAUGAGGAGCUUGCUCCUCUGACGUUAGCGGCGGACGGGUGAGUAACACGUGGAUAACCUACCUAUAAGACUGGGAUAACUUCGGGAAACCGGAGCUAAUACCGGAUAAUAUAUUGAACCGCAUGGUUCAAUAGUGAAAGACGGUUUUGCUGUCACUUAUAGAUGGAUCCGCGCCGCAUUAGCUAGUUGGUAAGGUAACGGCUUACCAAGGCAACGAUGCGUAGCCGACCUGAGAGGGUGAUCGGCCACACUGGAACUGAGACACGGUCCAGACUCCUACGGGAGGCAGCAGUAGGGAAUCUUGCGCAAUGGGCGAAAGCCUGACGGAGCAACGCCGCGUGAGUGAUGAAGGUCUUCGGAUCGUAAAACUCUGUUAUUAGGGAAGAACAAAUGUGUAAGUAAAUAUGCACGUCUUGACGGUACCUAAUCAGAAAGCAACGGCUAACUACGUG
rnacentral:rRNA from 1 species